UUCUACCUAGCUGCCUGUGUUCAGUGUUCCCACUGCUUGCUCACCAAUGCCAACCUCCUGUAGGCCCACCCCUCCACUGGGGCCCAGAAACGGAAGCAACCGAGUCAGCGCCUCGGCAAGCAGGGAAGAAAACCGCAGACCACUUCCUUCCGGAUGCCCGAAGCAGACUUUCCCUCCGGUCCCACAGGCUCCAGCCAACAGGAUGGUCCUCAAACCACCUGCAGCCGUGUCUCCUGCUAGGGCACCCUGCGGCAGGGCAAAAUCCUCACAGUCCCCCUGGAAAACCGAAGACAUCUUGAUGGAGACACAAUUCACCGAUCACCAAAGGAACCCAUUUAGAGCGCACGACUGAAUAGUUUCAGUGUAUUCGCGGAGUUGUGCAACCAGCACCACGAAGUUCAGAACAUUUUCAUUCCUCCAGAAAGAAACCCCGUGCUCGGGAGCGGUCAGUUCCCAUUUCCCCUCAACCGCUCCAGUUCUAGGCCACCACUAAUCUACUUUCUGUUUCUAGAGAUCUGUCCAUUCUGUUUACAUAAACCGAAUCUUCAUUUAUGGUUUGUUUUUUUAUUCAUUUGUAUCUAUAUUUAUUUAUUUCGGGGUGUGUGUGGGGGAGACAGCAUGAGCAGGGGAGGGGGACAGACAGGCAGAGAAAGAGAGAGACAGAAUCCUAAGCAGGCUCUACACUUAGUGUGGAGCCUGACGUGGGGCUCAAUCUCACGAACCUGGGAUCACGACCGGAGCCAAAAUCAAGAGUUGAACGCUAAACUGAGCCACCAAGGUGCCCCAAUAUAAAAGGAAUCUUAUAAAUGUGGUCUUUGUGUCUGCCUUCUCUCUGAACAUCAGGUUUCCUAGGUCCAUCCAUGUUGUGGCAGGCAUCAGUAUUUCUUUAUUACUAACUAGUAUUCCAAGGUAUGGAUGUAGCACAUUUGGUCUGUCCGUUCAUCAGCUGAUGGGCAUCUGGGUUGUUCUGCUUCGGGGCAAUUAUGAAUAAUGCUGCCACGAACAUUCACGUAACCAUUUCUGUGUGGACCUAUGUUUUCCGUUCCGUUGGGUACAUGUCUAUGAGUGCAACUGAUGGGCCAUUCGGUAACUAUGUCUAACUUUCUGAGGAAUUUCCAAACUCUUUCCCUAAGUGACUACACCAUUUUACAUUCCCACCACAUAUGGGGAUUCCAAUUUCUCCACAUCAUCCUUUCCAACGUUUUUAUUAUCUGUUUGAUUAUAGCCAUCCUCACGUGUGUGAAGUACCGUCUUGUGGUUUGGGUUUGCAAUUUCACCAGUGUCUAAGGACAAUGACACCGAGCAUCUUUUCACGUGCUCAGUGGACACCAGUAGAUCUUCUUUGGAGAAAUGUCUAUUCGAAUUCUUUGCCUAUUAAAAAAAUUUUUUU